GCAUACAACAAAAUAUCCUAAAGGCACAAGAUCCCAUCUGAUCUUGGAAGCUCAGCAGAGUUAGCUCUUGUUAAUAAUAGGAUGGGAGACAACCAGCAAAUAUCCAGUGCUCUAGGCU
rnacentral:rRNA from 11 species